GAAUGUCCACAGAUCAAAUAGGUGAAUGUCCACAGAUCAAAUAGGUGAUUUUUACCUAUUUGAUCUGUGGACAUUCACCUAUUUGAUCUGUGGACUG
rnacentral:pre_miRNA from 1 species